rnacentral:lncRNA from 1 species
GAGAGGGUCCUGGUAUUGAGGAAGAUCCUUUCCAUACAAAAAGAACUUCAUGUCAAGCUGGAAAGGACAUUGUGUGGAUGGCCUUAUCUGGAAAAGUGCCAAUCUUGAUCGGAAGGGAUAACGAGGACAUGCCUAAUCCUAUAAGUUCAAAUUCAAUAAAAAAUGUUAAGAAAAAAAGAGAGAAAAAAGAAAAAGAAGGAAAUAGAAGAAAAAAGAAAGAAGAAGAAGAAAAGAAAAAGAAAAGGAAAAGAAAAAGUAAAAGUAAAAGAAAAUGAGAGGCCAAGGUGAAAACUCGCAAAGGGCGCAUUGAGACCAAAGGGGAUUUGAGUUGAAAACCCGAAAAGGGCAGCUCAAAUGUUGGAACAAAAUGGGGCAUGAGGUGAUCAAAGUAGCUCAAAUUUUGAUCGAAUUAGGGCAUGUGGUGAUCUUGUUAUACCUGAAUCAACAGGAAAGGGUAAGCGACAUCUUGGGGCAUCGACA